UUUUCUUUGGUGUAAAGCACAGGAACAUUUGAUUUUCCAGGAAAAAAAAUUUUUAAGAAAAG
rnacentral:tRNA from 1 species